rnacentral:rRNA from 1 species
AUUGAACGCUGGCGGCAUGCUUUACACAUGCAAGUCGAACGGCAGCGCGGGCUUCGGCCUGGCGGCGAGUGGCGAACGGGUGAGUAAUGCAUCGGAACGUGCCCAGUAGUGGGGGAUAGCCCGGCGAAAGCCGGAUUAAUGCCGCAUACGACCUGAGGGUGAAAGCGGGGGACCGAAAGGCCUCGCGCUAUUGGAGCGGCCGAUGUCGGAUUAGCUAGUUGGUGGGGUAAAGGCUUACCAAGGCGACGAUCCGUAGCUGGUCUGAGAGGACGACCAGCCACACUGGGACUGAGACACGGCCCAGACUCCUACGGGAGGCAGCAGUGGGGAAUUUUGGACAAUGGGGGCUACCCUGAUCCAGCCAUGCCGCGUGCGGGAAGAAGGCCUUCGGGUUGUAAACCGCUUUUGUUCGGGAAGAAAUCCUCUGGGCUAAUACCCCGGGGGGAUGACGGUACCGGAAGAAUAAGCACCGGCUAACUACGUG